GCUGUUUAAUGCUAACAGUAGCUGUCAGUUAGCUGUUUUAUGCUAACGUUAGUUGUUACGUAGCAGUUUAAUGCUAACAGUAGCUGUCACUUAGCUGUUUUAUGCUAAAGUUAGCUGUGACUUAGCUGUUUUAUGCUAACGUUAGCCGUGACCGCUCAGGGCUGAAGCUAAAUGCUACAGUUCAGGUGAACACGAGAAGGAACGUGGCGGCAGCGUUGGCUAUCGUUUCAAGUAUGUCAGUUCUGGUUCUGAUCCCCACAGAUCUCGUCAUCGCUUUCUGAUGAAAUCCAAAUGUGUAAAUCAGCUUUAAAACCAGACUGACCUCAUCUGUCCCUCCCUCCGGUUUUUACUUUAUUACCUGCUGUUUCUAAUUUCACCAUCUUUGACGUCAGAUAUCAGCCUGCAGCCUGGUGAAAAAGUUCCACACCCAGGAAAACAGAUCUGCGCUGGCCGGGAAUCGAACCCGGGUCAACUGCUUGGAAGGCAGCUAUGCUAACCACUAUACCACCAACGCAUCUGGUGAGCAGGGCUCUCUGUCUGAUGUGGCGUCCAACAUCUGGCCCGCGACCAGUCGCAGGACAACAGCCUUUAACAUGUGUUAAAUGAAACAAAUGAAACAUUCCUUAAUAAAGGGAGCUGGAGGACCUCUACAGAUUGUAGUCACUAGAUGAACUGCAUGGCGUGCAGGAGGACGUGUGAUCAAGCGUUUCCAUUAUCUGCUGACUGACUCGCCUUUUUUUGGAGGAUGAAGUAAUUGUUUCCACCUUUAUGGCCCGCAAGAAACAACAAGGUGAAAGAACUGUAGUUUCCCCGCAGCACGCCGUGUCACUGACCUCCGCGUCACAUAGUUAGACAGCGUAGAAAAGAGCAGUUGUCUUUUCCUGAGUCCUUAUGAAUUCUCCUUCACAUCUGUUUAGGUUUAGAGUCAAAUAUUUUAUGUUUAUUUGUCUCAGAGAUUUUUAUUAGAAUUAAAGAUUAUGACAGUA